CCCUGGUUAGCUCUGUUGGUAGAGCGCUCCACUGGAAAUGGAGCGGUCUCUGGUUCGACACCAGGAACAGGCG
rnacentral:tRNA from 2 species